rnacentral:tRNA from 1 species
AAGUAAUUAGCUCAAUUGGUAGAGCGUCUCGCUUACAACGAGAAUGUCAUCGGUUCAAAUCCGGUAUUACUUA